AGUGAACGCUGGCGGUAGGCCUAACACAUGCAAGUCGAACGGCAGCACAGUAAGAGCUUGCUCUUACGGGUGGCGAGUGGCGGACGGGUGAGGAAUACAUCGGAAUCUACUUUUUCGUGGGGGAUAACGUAGGGAAACUUACGCUAAUACCGCAUACGACCUACGGGUGAAAGCAGGGGAUCUUCGGACCUUACGCGAUUGAAUGAGCCGAUGUCGGAUUAGCUAGUUGGCGGGGUAAAGGCCCACCAAGGCGACGAUCCGUAGCUGGUCUGAGAGGAUGAUCAGCCACACUGGAACUGAGACACGGUCCAGACUCCUACGGGAGGCAGCAGUGGGGAAUAUUGGACAAUGGGCGCAAGCCUGAUCCAGCCAUACCGCGUGGGUGAAGAAGGCCUUCGGGUUGUAAAGCCCUUUUGUUGGGAAAGAAAAGCAGCAGGUUAAUACCCCGCUGUUCUGACGGUACCCAAAGAAUAAGCAUCGGCUAACUUCGUG
rnacentral:rRNA from 1 species